GACAGAGGGUGCAAACGUUGCUCGGAAUCACUGGGCGUAAAGGGCGUGUAGGCGGGCAGGUAAGUCGGGCGUGAAAUCCCUGGGCUCAACCCAGGAACUGCACUCGAAACUACUUGUCUUGAGUGUCGGAGAGGAAAGCGGAAUUCCUGGUGUAGAGGUGAAAUUCGUAGAUAUCAGGAGGAACACCAGUGGCGAAGGCGGCUUCCUGGACCAAUACUGACGCUCAUGUGCGAAAGCGUGGGGAGCAAACAGG
rnacentral:rRNA from 1 species